CGCCAUUGCUCAUGGCACUUGUAUUUAGAAACCACGUCUAAAACACUAACUCGGAUUUGAAAUAUUACUUCUAAAACACAUUAAUUUAAAAAGAGUUGUACGUACUUCUGCAUGCAAACACUGAACUAUAUGGGUGCGUUCCUUUAGUGCAAUCCGGAUUUGGAUCUUCAAAUCCGAUUAUCGAUUUUCAGUUCGUUUAACAAAAUCUUAAAAUAGAUUCGUAUCUGAUGAAUCCACCUCUCAACA
rnacentral:lncRNA from 1 species